GAAAAUUGCUGAAUUAGAGUCACAUACGGAUAAAGUUGUUGCUGUUCAGUUCUGUAACAAUGGAGACAGGUAAUUAUGUAAUACAUAUUUGUGUAAACAGAUGUUUCAUAUAUUUUACUACCAUUCCCUCAGAUGCAGCUACUUCUAUGAUAGAUACCUUAUUUCUGUCCAGUUAUUCAGGUUCAAAGCCCUUGUUUGUCUUUGAUGACAUCCUUAGCCAUCACUUCCACAAUCUCAUCCAAGUAGUAACCAUAGCCUAUCAGGUCUUCCUUUCUGAGUGCUUUCUUCUUUGUUUAUUUUGCUCUAUUUCUGUUAGCACCCACGUUAGUCGAGUGUUCCAUUAUUUGACCUGUCCAUCUCUGCCAGU
rnacentral:sRNA from 1 species